GAUGAAGAACGCAGCGAAACGCGAUAUGUAAUGUGAAUUGCAGAAUUCAGUGAAUCAUCGAAUCUUUGAACGCACAUGGCGCCUUCCAGUAUCCUGGGAGGCAUGCCUGUCCGAGCGUCGUUUCAACCCUCGAGCCCCCGUGGCCCGGCGUUGGGGAUCUGCCCAGGCAGUCCCCGAAAACCAGUGGCGGACCCGUUACAGGCCCUUCCCUUGCGUAGUAGCAUUCGCCUCGCAUCGGGAGCCGGCGGGCUUCCAGCCUCUAAACCCCCAUCAAGUCCGCCUCGGCGGCACCAAGGUUGACCUCGGAUCAGGUAGGAAUACCCGCUGAACUUAAGCAUAUCAAUAAGCGGAGGA
rnacentral:misc_RNA from 1 species